AUGACGCGGGGCCCACAACUUAGCUGACGCUAACUCGGAUCUGUGUUGCUUAAUUUCCUGUCUUUAAGUCAUAGUUUACACUUGACUAACAUUAACUAAUCAUACAAAUAUUUGUAACCAUUAUACAACAGUGAACAGGUGACCUGCUGUGAGCUCAAACCGUGUUCAUCCCAAACAAACAUAGCACUAUGGAAUUUCAACAAGUUGCACACCUUCAACCAGAGAGAAAAGAACUAAUAAGUGACACUGGCAAGACCUCCACCGUUGCAUUUUCCUGUGUACAUUGUCAUUAUCAAGAAGAUACAGCGAUGGACACUGGGCAAGAUGAAAGUCUGUCACGAUUCAAUCAAAACACAUAGUGUUAAGAUGGCCACACCUGGAAAUGACAUGAUUGAAGCAGAGCUCAGCCUGGACCAGACGCCCCAAAUGUCGUAGACACAGGCCCUUCAGCAGCUGGACAACACACUGGUCAUCUAUGUGAUACUCUGAUGGGUCUACACAUUCAAUGAAAUGCUGUUAGUUUUAUGCUGGUGCUAAAAAAAACAAACAUGUCAUGUCAGUGCUCUUAAGUUCUGCUGUUUCGCUC